GUGAAAGGGGCAGAUUGAAAACACAAGUUAUCUACAGAAAGGUAGAGUAUAGGCAUUAAGACACAAGCUUCCCCACGUUGCCCUAUCAAUAUGCCUUACCCAUGCCAUGAAGGCACUCUCUAAAAAGUAACUGGGUAGUUCAGUCUUCACUCCCAGUCAGCCUUCGGCCUCU
ensembl:misc_RNA